AACGAACGCUGGCGGCAUGCCUAACACAUGCAAGUCGAACGAGACCUUCGGGUCUAGUGGCGCACGGGUGCGUAACGCGUGGGAACCUGCCCUUAGGUUCGGAAUAACUCCCCGAAAGGGGUGCUAAUACCGGAUAAUGUCUUCGGACCAAAGAUUUAUCGCCUUUGGAUGGGCCCGCGUUGGAUUAGCUAGUUGGUAGGGUAAAAGCCUACCAAGGCGACGAUCUAUAGCUGGUCUGAGAGGAUGAUCAGCCACACUGGGACUGAGACACGGCCCAGACUCCUACGGGAGGCAGCAGUGGGGAAUAUUGGACAAUGGGCGAAAGCCUGAUCCAGCAAUGCCGCGUGAGUGAUGAAGGCCUUAGGGUUGUAAAGCUCUUUCACCCGGGAUGAUAAUGACAGUACCGGGAGAAUAAGCUCCGGCUAACUCCGUG
rnacentral:rRNA from 1 species